UUGCUUUGGCAGCAUAUAUUGUAAAAUUGGAAUGAUACAGAGAAAAUUAGCAUAGCUCUUUGGAAGAAUCACAUGCAAAUUUAUGAAGUGGUCCAUAUUUAA
ensembl:snRNA LOC120101192 U6 spliceosomal RNA